rnacentral:rRNA from 1 species
AAAACAUCUUUUCUUGAAAUUUAUUUGAGAUUUGACCUGCCCAAUGAAAUUAUUUAAUGGCCGCGGUAUAUUGACCGUGCAAAGGUAGCAUAAUCAUUAGUUUAUUAAUUGUGAACUUGUAUGAAUGGUUGGACGAAAUAUUGACUGUCUCAGUUUUAAUUUUAUAAUUUAAAUUUUUAGUUAAAAUGCUUAAAUUUUUUUAUAGGACGAGAAGACCCUAUAGAUCUUUAUUUUUAAAUUAUUUAUUUUAUUUUGGUUUAUAUUUCUUUAAUUAGUUGAUAUUAUUUUGUUGGGGUGAUAUUGAGAUAUAAUUAACUCUUUUUAUAAAUAUUCAUUAAUUUUUGUAUUUUUGACCUUUUAUUAAUGUUAUAAGAUAUAGAUACCUUAGGGAUAACAGCGUAAUUCUUUUUGAGAGUUCUUAUCGACAAAGGAGAUUGCGACCUCGAUGUUGGAUUAAGAUUAUUGUUAGGUGUAGGUGCUUAAUUAAUAAGUCUGUUCGACUUUUAAAAUCUUACA